GUCUGUCGCUGGACUCAGCGA
rnacentral:snRNA from 1 species